AUUGAACGCUGGCGGCAGGCCUAACACAUGCAAGUCGAACGGUAACAGGAAGCAGCUUGCUGCUUCGCUGACGAGUGGCGGACGGGUGAGUAAUGUCUGGGAAACUGCCUGAUGGAGGGGGAUAACUACUGGAAACGGUAGCUAAUACCGCAUAACGUCGCAAGACCAAAGAGGGGGACCUUAGGGCCUCUUGCCAUCGGAUGUGCCCAGAUGGGAUUAGCUAGUAGGUGGGGUAACGGCUCACCUAGGCGACGAUCCCUAGCUGGUCUGAGAGGAUGACCAGCCACACUGGAACUGAGACACGGUCCAGACUCCUACGGGAGGCAGCAGUGGGGAAUAUUGCACAAUGGGCGCAAGCCUGAUGCAGCCAUGCCGCGCGUAUGAAGAAGGCCUUCGGGUUGUAAAGUACUUUCAGCGGGGAGGAAGGGAGUAAAGUUAAUACCUUUGCUCAUUGACGUUACCCGCAGAAGAAGCACCGGCUAACUCCGUG
rnacentral:rRNA from 1 species